UGCUCUCUUUCAGACUGUAGAACGACAAUUACUACCCGAGAUCAGAUGAUGGUUCCUUCAAAACUUUUACAAAACAUCUUUCCGACCUAUAUCUAUGGAUUCCUUAUUUUGAUGACGUUAAUAAAAGUAUCUCCAAUGGCCGAUACUGGUAAUUCUAGUAGCAUAGUGGAUAGUACGACUCAAGAAAAUAAAAUAAAUUCAACGAAGAAUUUAACGAUGAACAAGACGUGCAAUUUGACUCAAGAAAAUAAAAUAAAUUGCACAGGGAAUUUCUCCAGUUUGAAAAAUCAAAGCAUGGUGCAAACAUGGUGACGAAUGCAAGUGAACUAGCAUGUCUGAUCGGGUGUAUUACCAAAUGACAGAUGAGCAAAUGGAGGUGGUUUCUUAAAAUGCCUAUGAUGACAUUCGUCUGACAAACUGUAAAGCUAUACAUCACAUUUGUUGUCUAAAUUAAAUCUCUGUAAAUUUAAGUGGUUUCUCAAUAUGGCUUGUUUAAGUUUGCAUAAGUAUUUGCAAAAUAUUUUCUCUAAUGACUUAAAAUCCGAGACUAUUUCAAAUAAAAGUUGACACAUAUAAA